rnacentral:rRNA from 1 species
GACGUAGGGCGCGAGCGUUGUCCGGAUUUAUUGGGCGUAAAGAGCUCAUAGGCGGCUUGUUGCGUCAGCUGUGAAAACCCGCAGCUCAACUGUGGGCUUGCAGCUGAUACGGGCAGGCUUGAGUUCGGUAGGGGAGACUGGAAUUCCUGGUGUAGCGGUGAAAUGCGCAGAUAUCAGGAGGAACACCGGUGGCGAAGGCGGGUCUCUGGGCCGAUACUGACGCGGAGGAGCGAAAGCGUGGGGAGCGAACAGG